CCUACGGGCGGCUGCAGUGGGGAAUAUUGGACAAUGGGGGGAACCCUGAUCCAGCCAUGCCGCGUGUGUGAAGAAGGCCCUCGGGUUGUAAAGCACUUUCAGUGAGGAAGAACGCCUGGUGGUUAAUACCCAUCAGGAAAGACAUCACUCACAGAAGAAGCACCGGCUAACUCCGUGCCAGCAGCCGCGGUAAUACGGAGGGUGCGAGCGUUAAUCGGAAUUACUGGGCGUAAAGCGCGCGUAGGUGGCUUGAUAAGUCGGUUGUGAAAGCCCCGGGCUCAACCUGGGAACGGCAUCCGGAACUGUCAAGCUAGAGUGCAGGAGAGGAAGGUAGAAUUCCCGGUGUAGCGGUGAAAUGCGUAGAGAUCGGGAGGAAUACCAGUGGCGAAGGCGGCCUUCUGGACUGACACUGACACUGAGGUGCGAAAGCGUGGGUAGCAAACAGGAUUAGAUACCCUAGUAGUC
rnacentral:rRNA from 1 species